CCCGGGAGAUUUUUAAUAAUGGGCUCUAGGGGGAAGAAAGGCCUCGACAUCCAGGGCUCACCAGUUUCUGUGGUUGAAACCAUAGCCGAUUUCAAGCUACCAACAUGUUGUCAACUGGCUCAUAAAAAUCCCGGAGAUCAGCUUUCAGAAGCCCAUGCGAGCUAGCUGUGGCACAAACCUGGACCCAGCAAACUGUGGGGAGACAGAGCUGUUAGCCUUCACAGGUGUGGAAAUCAGAUGUCCAGUGAUGGCCUCAAGACCGCUCAGCUGAUCUGAACACAGCUUCGAGUCAAGUUUUCCCCCUCCUUCUCCAAACCUCCAGAGCCCUAUCACCACGCCCCCUUUAAAAAUAUAGAUGUAUUGAAUAAGUCUAUUUCAGUUCCCUAUGAGCAUUUAAAAGCUGGAAGCUGAGGACGUGUGUAAGUUAUUUCUGACUUUCCACUUUAAAAAUGAGAUGUAUGACAGUUGCAGCGCAAUGUUGGCCCCAGCUCAGAGUUAUGCAUGAGGUUUUAUUAUGUUUAAAUUCUUGCAUAAUUAAAUAAACAGCGGCCCGGGGAAAGCA